rnacentral:rRNA from 1 species
AACGAACGCUGGCGGCGUGCUUAAUACAUGCAAGUCGAACGUGAAGCUGUAGCAAUACGGUGGAAAGUGGCGAACGGGUGAGUAACACGUAAGUAAUCUACCUCUAGGAUCGGGAUAACCUUGCCAACGCGGGGCUAAUACCGGAUGUGAUCAUUGGAGCGCAUGUUUUGAUGAUUAAAGGAGUGAUCCGCUUAGAGAUGAGCUUGCGGCCCAUUAGUUAGUUGGCGGGGUAAUGGCCCACCAAGACCGCGAUGGGUAGCCGGCCUGAGAGGGUGUACGGCCACAUUGGGACUGAGAUACGGCCCAGACUCCUACGGGUGGCUG